rnacentral:misc_RNA from 1 species
UGUUAUAGCAACCUGUUGCUCCUUUAAAUUUCGUGCAGCACCACCUAUAACCCACGCCAAAGAACUACAAGCUACGUGUCGUGGUCAUAAAAAAGUAUGUAAUGUGAGUUACGGUCGUGCAAUGGUGUUUGGAUAUUAUUCAUAUUAUAUUUUGUAGUACAAUCGGCAGUAUCGAUAAGAAAAAGCAAAGAAAUAAAAGAAGAGAAUUUUUUGUCAAAUUUGACAUUAUCACUGGAUAACCUUGUUCUGGCGUCCAUGCAUAUUUGGAAAAGUAUCUUGCUGAAAUAAAAUUAAAAAUAUAUUCUUAAAAAACAGUUAUGUUAUAAAGUAAACAUUGUUUAUUAGAAUUUUAUUACUUGGUUUAUUGAAGUUUAGUAUUAUGUUUAUUUCACAGUUAUUAAUAAUUAUUUCUAUAAUCUGAACGUUCAAAGCUUGAUCAAAAAACAGAAGCUUUCUUAUAAACGUGUAUUCGUGCACGUAUUAUAUUUUUGCUAAAAAAGAAGAAUUAAGAUUAUGUUCAAUAAUCAAAUGAUAAAUAUAACAGCAAAAGAAAAUGAUUCUACAGAAGAAAAUAGUUUGAGUAAUGAAAGAAAAGAACAAAAAUUUCUUACUGAUUUGAGUACACCUAAUGAUAAUAGAUAUUUUGUGAAACGGUCAUAUACGUCACCAAGAAUAUUUAAAUCACGAAGAAAUAGAGGUUUCGUUUGUUAUAGAAUGAACAGAUCAUUAAGCUUUGAUAAUUAUAAGAAUGAUCGUUUAUUUAAAUCUCCUAAUUCUAGUUCAGGAAGUAGCAAUGCGGAUAACGAAAAGCAUCUAACAAGAUCAGCUAAAAUAAUGAGAGCACUUAAUUUUAAUUGCAGUCCCUUCUACAAUCAAAGAAAGAAAAUAAAAAAGACAUUAAAUUUUAAUUUAACUCCAAGUCCAAAGAAAUUUUCUAAUCUUAAAAGUUCAAGAGAUAAUAUAAAUUUCAAUUUGACUACAUCUUCGCCUAAAAUUAAUAAAACUUUGAACUUUGACACAAGUCCAAGUAAUUCGAGUACAAGCAGUAUAUUUCUUACAUCAUUUGAUUCUAUGGAUGAAAAUCAAAAUCAAACUCCUUCUCAACGAAAUAAAAAAGCUAAAAAGUUAUUGGAUUAUAUUACACCCAAGAAAAGGAUGUAUGUUUCAUCUCCGAAUAUGGAUAUAUCUUCUCCAUCUUUACGUUUGAGUCUUAAAGAAAAGAUCGAUGACAUUGUACAAAUGAAUUGUUCACCUUCGCAUUCUUUUAAUCAAAAUAGAAAAGCAUUAAAUUUUAAUACUCGUUGCAAUAUUAGUACACCGAGAAAUUUGUAUGCAGAUUUUUCUAACGAAGAUGAUGAAAGACCGCAUACACCUGAAAAUACUAUUCCUAUUAUUCCGGAAAGUAUGAGUGCCAUAAAGAAGAGUCAUAAAAAGGAAAGAUCACUACGACAAACGGAUAAUUUAUCUAUAAAACAUGUAAAUGUAUUACAAAAAUUAACAGAUCCUUUCAUGGUUGAGCAGUUUGAUGAACUGCGAAGAGAAAAAAGACCCUUAAGUCCACCUAUGGCUGAAAAAGAUAUUGUAUCUAUCUGUGAUACAAAUUCUAUUGAACAAUCUCAUAAAAAAGAUAAAAGUAGGAAAAACAUUUCAAUGUUACUUUCUGGAGAUGAACUUUCUGACUCAGGAUCUAUUUUUGAAUAUUCCAUAGGACAAAGAAAUAUAAAAGGAGAAAAUAAUACAUGCCAUACCGAUUUUAAUCUUAACAAAAGUGAUGAUAACAUAGAUUAUGACUCAAAUAGUAACAAUAUAUCAGCAAAUAGUAUUGGUUGUUGUGAAUUAAUAAAUAGUUCAAAUGAAGCAAUAAACAAUCAAGGUCUGGAUAUUAUUACUGGUAUGGAUACAAAAUCUAGUUCUCGCGUUAAGGAAGAAAUAUGUAACACAGUUUCUCAAAAUCCCCUACCAAGUACUAGUAAUGCCAAUAAGAAAAGUAGAUCAGCAUCACCACAAGCACUUGAAACAAAUUCUGUACCUUCAGUAAGAGUAAUGACACCAGAAAAUCAAAUAGAUUUCUUACAACAUAUUCAAACUGAAUCAAUUAAAAAGUCUCAUAAGAAGAUUAAGGAAGAAAAAAGGAAAAAAAUUUUUUUACCUAGAAAUCUUGAACAUAAACUUAAGGAAGCAAAACUGGAUACUGUUAAAAAUAAGAAUUUUGAAGUAUCAAAAGAUGAUCAAAAUGAUAAUAAUAUUCCAACAAAUGAGGACUCUGUUAAUGUAGACAUUGUUCGUGCUAGUACACCUGAAAAUGUUAAUUCUAGCAGGUUGUUAUUGUCAAACUUUACUUCGGUUAAAAAAUCACACAAAAAAGACAAACAUUAUAAAAUCGUUUCACAAUUUAUUCGACGUCAACAAUUUUUAAAUAAAGAUGCGGAUUAUAAUAAUGUGCAACAUGAAAUGCACAAUGACGUUACCAAGAAAGAUCAACGAAAAAUAAAGAACAAAUCUACUGAAAAUGAUAGCGCUAUGUCUAAUUUACAUUUAAAUAAUAUCAAACUUAACUGUAAAGUGUCUCCAAGUAAAAGAAAAAUAUUUUCUUAUUUAGCAGAUGACGAUGAUGAUGAUGAUGAUGAUGAUGAUGAUGAUGAUUUAUUACAUUUAUUGUGCAAUUCUAAAUUAACGCAAAAUGAGGGUAGAAAUAUGGAGGAAUUCAAAAUUUGUACACCUAUAAAAAAAAGAAGAUCAUUAUUAAAAACUGAUGUGAAAUCUGAUGGUUUACAUAAAGUACAAUCAAAUAAUAAUGAUUCAUUUGAAGAAGAGAUUGUAAAUAUCGAUGCAUCUAGAUGUUUAACCCCCAUUCUAAGACAUCUUGGUUGUACGGUAUUACCAGGGCAAAAUACUGAUCUGGUAAAAACAAGUAAUGAUGAUAAGAAUACAAGUAAUGAAAAAAAUAAUUCAGUUGAAGAACAACAGCAGCCUGAUACGCAAGAUCAGAAUGGAAGAUCAACACCCAAAAAUAUGUCUACAAUAGAAUUACUUCCUAACAUUAAUUCCAUUAAAAAAUCUCAUAAAAAGGAUAAACGUGGAAAUGGAUUGCAUAGAAGUCUUAUUUUAGAACAAGAAAAAUUAUUUCUAAAGAAAAAUGAUAACAAAUUUUUGCAGAAUAAUUAUAGAAAUUCAACAAUAGUUUCUAAAUCAAAUGAUAAUGAUUCAAGUUUAGCUGAUAAUACUUGUUCAACAAAUAUGUUGAGCGAUGGUAGUAAUAACCAUGCGCAAAAUUCUGCUAUUACAAUUUAUAAAGAUUCUCAAACUUUCAAUCAAGAUGAUAAUGUUAAUGACAGACAAAAUAUCCUAACAAAUGAUACUACCUCAUCUAAUAAGACUCCACCAAACUGUUUAAUGGUAAAAAAUUAUAUGAGAUUGUUGCAAACAACUUCAAUAAAAAAAUCUCACAAGAAAGAACGAGAUCGUAAGAAACAUAAAGUAAUAAAUAAAGACCCAGAACUGUCAGAUGAAGGAUCUAUAUUUGGAGAAAGUGAGAAAGUUGAUACCUUAGACGAUUUACAUAUUCAAAUUAAUAGCAAUGAGACUGAUAUAGAUAGAUCUGAUUAUGUAUAAAUUAUAAAUGAAGAGAUAUAAUGUAAAAGAAAUAAAAAAGAUUUAAUUAAUUAUAACAGAAGAGUCCAAAUUUUUUUAGUGGCAAUAUUCUAAGGAUGGACCUAUAUUUUUUCAUAUUUCUGUUCAGGUCAUGAUAAUCCAUUAGUCAAAGAAAUACACAAGGAUGUUAGUUAUGGGUGAUGGAUGUGGCUAGAAUAAAAAUUGUACUGACAAUCAUUGGUGACUGACGUGUCGUUUAAUAUGUUAAAUUUUAAUAAUAAAUAAAGAUGUUUAAGUUUCAGCAAAAUAAA